rnacentral:ncRNA from 1 species
CUAGAAUCGUAUUGUAUUGGCAGUCAUUGGGAAUGAGGUGCAAACCCUCAGCUGUCCCCGCAACUGUAAUGGACUUUUGGUCUGAAGCCAGAUACCAAGGCCAAUACCUACACUUAAGC